rnacentral:rRNA from 1 species
GACGAACGCUGGCGGCGUGCCUAAUACAUGCAAGUAGAACGCACAGUUUAUACCGUAGCUUGCUACACCAUAGACUGUGAGUUGCGAACGGGUGAGUAACGCGUAGGUAACCUGCCUGGUAGCGGGGGAUAACUAUUGGAAACGAUAGCUAAUACCGCAUAAUAUUAAUUAUUGCAUGAUAAUUAAUUGAAAGGUGCAAUUGCACCACUACCAGAUGGACCUGCGUUGUAUUAGCUAGUAGGUGAGGUAACGGCUCACCUAGGCGACGAUACAUAGCCGACCUGAGAGGGUGAUCGGCCCAACUGGGACUGAGAAACGGCCCAGACUCCUACGGGAGGCAGCAGUAGGGAAUCUUCGGCAAUGGACGAAAGUCUGACCGAGCAACGCCGCGUGAGUGAAGAAGGUUUUCGGAUCGUAAAGCUCUGUUGUAAGAGAAGAACGGGUGUGAGAGUGGAAAGUUCACACUGUGACGGUAUCUUACCAGAAAGGGACGGCUAACUACGUG